GGGCGACUAGCUCAGCGGGAGAGCACUGUCCUCACACGGCAGGGGUCGCUGGUUCGAAUCCAGUGUCGCCCA
rnacentral:tRNA from 1 species